UAGAGAAGGAAGGAGAGAGGGAAGGACGGAGGGAGGAGACACAUCUGUCAUUCUCUGCCAUCAUUUACAAGGACGGUUCGAAUCCUCUCUCUCCCUAAGUGCCUCCCAAUGUGGAAUAAUUCUGACAAUAAACCGUAAUGGAGGGAGGUGCGGCCAUCGCGACAGGAACGACGUGAUCUGGAACGCGGUGUGGAGGUGCAGGCUCUCGCAGAAAUGGAAUCCACGCUCGGAAGACGAGGGUCAUGGUCACAGAAAUGCCACGCCCUCUCUGCACCUUCUUCCUAAAGGCAGCCCUCCCCAAACACUCAGUGCCCUGAGCUUCCUGGGGCGACAGGUAUGCAACAAACAGCGUUCACCAAGAUCUCUGCUUCCGGUUCUAACUCCGCGUGCAUUAAGCUCAGCGAUGCCCUGCUCCUAAGCCACCAGACCCCAGAAUCAGGUGAGUGGCAGCAGGUGGGAGCAGAGUAAUGGCAUAGAGCCUACACCGGGCUCAAAGACAGCAUGUCCUAGGACACCGCACCGUGAGGCACUAGACCCGUGUCCCUGGGAGACCCGUGUCCCUGGGAGAGAGGGUCGGGGACAGCACAACAGACGGGGAGGGAGGGUUGAGGGCACAGGAUCGUCUACAAAGUAGCAGACCCGAGUCCCAGGGCUCAUCCCCGACACCGGGUCCCACAGCCCCCUGUGCUACUGUCAGAAGUGUUAUUUAAAAAAAAUUUUUUUUAAUGUUUAUGUCUGAGAGAGAAAGACCGAGCGUGAGUGGAGGAGGGGCAGAGAGAGAGGGAGACACAGAAUCUGAAAUGAGCUCCAGGCUCCGAGCUGUCAGCACAGAGCCGGAUGCGAGGCUUGAACCCACGAAUUGUGAGAUCGUGACCUGAGCUGAAGUCGGACGUUUAACCGACUGAGUCACCCAGGGGCCCCGAAGGGUCAUCGCAUUUUCGAGCCGUAACAGAAAGGGCACACGUGCGACCCAGCGUCUCAAGCCCUGGGCUUUGCGAGCGCCCCAUUCUGCCCCACCUUGGGGAAACCACCUCCCAGUUCAAGGACCCGGGCUCACUCUGGGGACCUUGCAGAUGAUCAGGGCACACAGAGUGGUCCCCACUAGGGGCUGUCACCAGCACAGCGGGAAGUUUUAGAAACGGUCGGGAUUACCUGGGACGAUGAGACGGUGAUGUGAUAGAAUUUCCCUUGUCCCCCCUGUGGGAUGGCUCUGACGAAGAAGAACUUCCGGCCGUCCUUGGAGAACACCGGCUCCUCGUUCUACGGACAAAAGCAGAGUGUGAAAAGGCUUCGUUGUGUGUGGAAAAGGUCUACCACAGACGAUACAUCCUGAGAGCCAUCUCCUCUGCCGUUUGUAAUGGGGGGUGCGGUGGAAAGAAUCAACAGUGAGUGGGGCCUCUCCUCUCCUUGGGAAGCACGAGUCAAAGCUUCUGUUUCCUGAGAAACAAUGAGGAAUUCAGCAGAGCCUUCAGGAAGGCGCCGAGCGCGGAGCGGGCUUGUCGCAGGCCCCCAGGCGGGGCAGGACCUCUGCCCCGGGGCGCCCGGGGCACCUGCCCCUCUCACCGCGGCUCCGUGAGAGCAGAGCCCAGGGCAGCACCUGUCCAGGCACACCCGCCUCCACCUUGAAGAAGCGAACCCCGAACACUCACAAGUUUGUGCCUGAAAACGAAUUCUACCACGUUCGGUCUCGUCUUUUGUUCUUUAAUUUAGUAAAGAACACGGAAUAGCCCGCCAGGGAGACAAGUAAAAAGAGAACAGAGCAGCAAACAAGGACACAUUUUAUUCAUUCUAAGGUGCAGGUGCAGGAAACGUUCCUUCCAGGAACCUUGAACCAGAAGAGCGUGCCACACGGGCAUUUGCCGGAUGGCCCGUUUGCUGGGGUCUCUUGCCACUUCUCCUCGGAGAGGAAUGGGCAUUCCCAGCUCUCCCCCGGGGAAGGAAUUCUCGGCUGGAUUCAAAGCCGAGGCCUGAAGUGUGUUGCCCUAUCCCUGCCCGGCCCCCCCAGAGCUGAGCGGCCACGGCCCCGGGGUCGGGCCACCUCCCCGAUGGGGGAAAAGGCAUUUUGCUACAGCUGCAUCUCAGCAUCUCUGCGGCUCCGGCUUGGAAGUUUCCAUCCGUGAACACCAAUUAGUCGGCGACGAUCUGUAUUUUCUGAUUCAAGGAGCCACACGCUCACGCGGCCGAGAACAAAUGGUAAAUAGGCCCCAGCUGGUGCCAGGAACGCACAUUUCCCCGCAGUGAGCGAGGAGACGCCAGCGUGAUGCGCCCGGAGAAAUAAACUAACAUGUGAUUAAAAUGA